CUUCAUGAUUUCCUACCCUUUUGUAGGAGAAGCCAAGUCAUUUAAUGCAAACAUCUCAAUGCACAAAACUGCUAGCUCUCAUAGUAUCCUUUAUUUUGAUACUGGAUUCAGGACCUUGUACUCAGGGCCAUAGAUUAGACCAGUCAGAGGGCCAGGAAAAAUGAAGAAGAUCACGCGUCAUUCCAUUGAAAAUGAGAGUCUUGUUUUAGCCUUGUCUUGUCAAGCAUUACUGCAUUCGUGUAACAUGGAGCAACUCGUUUAACUUGCUGGGUGUCCCUUAUUGGCAAUCGCAGGUUGUGCUCGGCAACAGCAACGGCACUUCGUUGCGCUUCUUUCAAUAUGUUAGUAACUGAGGAAGUUCCGACUACGAUGAAGCAAAGCCCUCAGGCCUCGUGUCAUGCACCGGAAAAGUAAUGGCAUUCCGAUGUAAAAAAGGUUCACCACUCUUGACCUUUAUUAACGAAAGUCAAGAGGAAAUCGUUGUGUAUUCAGCAAUAAACGUAAAAAAGAACUAAAACGUGGGUAAAUGUUAGGUGUGGAAUUGUAGGAAGACGUUUGACUGAUCGAGGUGAAUGGAAUGAACGUACUGCCUUGUGAUGUUAAGGAAUUCCCAUCCAAAUAUAUAUAGUUACGUUUGCAUGUUUUUAAUCCCCGCCCUUUAAUGUUCAAUUAAUAUGUUUAUGUUUUGAAUAGGUAUUGCGUGUUAAUCUUUCACCACUAGUCACUCCAAAUUAUUCUUAAUUAGAUUACUAUUGCGUAAACAAAUGUAAAUGUGUCUGGUGUAUGUCCGAUCAUGAGGAGGUUUUCAUAUUCCCGUUAAAACGUUCCCGGGACUUCAAACGCCAGGGAGGUAUAGGGUAAUGUUUAAUUCAUGAGCCACCGACUUCUUUGCCUUUUUAAAACCUCAUUUUUCUGGCUAUCCAUCAGAGAAAAGAUUUAUGCCAGAGAUAGGAUUCAACUCCAAAACCACCCACCAAGAAAAACGACUAUCGCUACUUAAUGGUUGAAUUGUUGAUGCUUUUUGGCAAUAAGAACCAUCUAGAGAGUCUAGAGAGUCGUUCAGUGGUUUAAGAUYGUUUGACUAAUGUAUUAAGCCUGAAGACUCGGAAAAGAUCAUUUCCCCCAAAAAAUAGCAAGAUAAAAAUCCGACUUUAUAUUAGAGUUAUAGUUUUUGUCUAAAACAGUUGCUAGAAAGUUCUGUGAUCAAAAGAUAGUACUUGGGAUACCGUAGUGCAUGACUACAGCUAUUAGAUUUUCAAAGGUAAUGUAAGUAAAUGACCGAAGGCUAGUGACAGCGAG